UACGGGGGGAGCAAGCGUUGUUCGGAUUUACUGGGCGUAAAGGGCGCGUAGGCGGCCACCGCAAGUCGGUUGUGAAAUCUCUGGGCUUAACCCAGAAAGGUCAACCGAUACUGCGGGGCUAGAGUGCAGAAGGGGCAACUGGAAUUCUCGGUGUAGCGGUGAAAUGCGUAGAUAUCGGGAGGAACACCUGUGGCGAAAGCGGCGCACUGGACCACAACUGACGCUGAGGCGCGAAAGCUAGGGGAGCAAACGGG
rnacentral:rRNA from 1 species